AUUGAACGCUGGCGGCAGGCCUAACACAUGCAAGUCGAGCGGGGUUUUCGGACCUAGCGGCGGACGGGUGAGUAAUGCGUAGGAAGCUGCCCGAUAGAGGGGGAUACCAGUUGGAAACGACUGUUAAUACCGCAUAAUGUCUACGGACCAAAGUGUGGGACCUUAGGGCCACAUGCUAUCGGAUGCGCCUACGUGGGAUUAGCUAGUUGGUGAGGUAAUGGCUCACCAAGGCGACGAUCUCUAGCUGGUUUGAGAGGAUGAUCAGCCACACUGGAACUGAGACACGGUCCAGACUCCUACGUGAUGCAGCAUUGGGGAAUAUUGGACAGUGGGCGCAAGCCUGAUCCAGCCAUGCCGCGUGUGUGAAGAAGGCCUUCGGGUUGUAAGGCACUUUCAGCGAGGAGGAAGGGUGGUGUGUUAAUAGCACAUCAUUUUGACGUUACUCGCAGAAGAAGCACCGGCUAACUCUGUGCCAGCCGCCGCGGUAA
rnacentral:rRNA from 1 species